rnacentral:tRNA from 1 species
UUUUAGUUUAAAAUUGAUUUGCAAUCAAUUAAUAUGUUAAGCAUACUAGAAU